rnacentral:rRNA from 1 species
CCCUUAGAUGUCCUGGGCCGCACGCGCGUUACACUGAUGCAUUCAACGAGCUUAUAACCUUGGCCGAGAGGCCUGGGCAAUCUUGUUAACGUGCAUCGUGAUAGGGAUAGAUUAUUGAAAUUAUUAAUCUUGAACGAGGAAUUCCUAGUAAACGCAGAUCAUCAAUCUGCAUUGAUUACGUCCCUGCCCUUUGUACACACCGCCCGUCGCACCUACCGAUUGGAUGGUCCGGUGAAGCCUCGGGAUUGUGGUUCUUGCCGCUUUAUUGUGGCGUGACCGCGAGAACUUGUCUAAACCUUAUCAUCUAGAGGAAGGUGANGUCGUNACA